GCCCAUCACAGUGUUGAUAAUAUUUGUUACCAUUUAAAAUAGUGUAUUUUAAUUUAAUUAGUGUAUUUAAUUAAAUAGUGUAUUUAAUUUGAAUGUGCACGUUGUGUGUGCUGGGGUUCUCGGAAUCAAACUUAAGGGCUCUGUCACUGAGCUAAAUCCCCAGCCCAUUCUUUUAUUUGGAUCCAGCUGAGUUGCUCAGGCAGGACUUAAACUUGCGACCUUCCUGCAUUAGUUUCUCGAAAUCCUGGAGUUGGAAGUGCACACCACCAUACCUGGCUUUUUACAUCAUUUGGGGGGAUCUGAAAGCACUCUUACUUUUCCUUGAUUUUUUUGGUCCUUGUUUACUGAGGUAUAACUUAUGAUCAAUGAUGUCCAUCACUUUUAGUGAACAAUUCUAGGUAUACCCUGAUGAACACAGCCGUGUCAAAACCACCACAAUCACACAGUCAUGAUCCAGAGCACUCUCCUCACCCACAAACUUCCUGCAUGCUCCUUUAGCAAGUUACCUCCAUCUACUGCCCAUUAGAAAUUUCUCACUUGGCUUAUAAUUACUGGGCUUAUAAAGAAUUUUCAAUAUUUUGGUAUCAGUGCUUUAUUACACAUUUUUGUAAAUAUUUUCUGCCAGUUGAAAGCUUAUCCUUUAUUUUCCUAAGUAUUCUUUGGAAGAGCGUUCAUAUCAUUUUUAAAAGCUUAAUCCUCAUAUCCAAAAGAAUUGACAUGAGUGUGUCAAAGAAAUAGCGGUGCUGCCAUUUCCGUGGCAGCCCUGUCCACGGUCAUCCAGGGAGGGAGUCACCUGGUGAUCUGACCCUAGGUGAGUGACUAAGUGGGUUACACACACAGCAGAACACUACGGUGUCACAAAAGAGGGGGACAUUCCGUCAUUUGUGACAUCAUGGACGAGCUCCUGAAAGGUAGUAACAUAAAAUAGGUGUAAAUGCGGACAUUUUUAGUUCGUGACACCACUCUUCAUGGGAGAAGAGCGCAGAAGAGAGGCUGGGCCAUUUCUACACACUGAAAACCCCCUGUGGGGAGCUCAUGAAGGACCAAUGGUUCCUCAGAUCUGCAAAUGUGAAUCAAAUAGAGAUGAUAAUGACUCUAACUGCAUAGAGUUGCUCCUGGGAUUAAAGAAGUUGUUGGGUCCCAAUGCCUGCACUGGGCAGUCCCAAGAAAGCAUGUGGGCAUCCUGCACAGGGAAGGCCUUUCUUCUCAGAGAAGGUGCUUGGCUCAGACUUGACCCCAGGGUGUGGACUCCUGAACUCUCUGAAGGUGCUCAUGGUAAGUGUGUUUCCUGA
rnacentral:lncRNA from 1 species